CCCUUCUGACCCAAGGACAACCAUCACAGCCCUUCUGACCCAAGGACAACCAUCACAGCCACGGUAUCCUCCCACUGUGUCCCUGUGAACCAUCUCUAGGACACACAGAGUACAGUCAGCUGUCAGACACAGCAGGAGCAGGAUAUCACCAGGAUAUUAUACAAUUGAAGGCUGCAGAACAUGGCCAAUUAUUUUUCAUUUGCCAUCGUUGCCAUGGUUCCUGUGAAAUAAAGAGCAACCCUGUUAGAGAACUGAGCCCAGCAUCCAAAGAACAAACCCAAGAUAGCAUGUAGCUCUGUGAAAUAUAAACAGCUCAGACAUGAGCUUUUAGUUAUGCCAUCACGACAUGCGGGAUAAUAAUAAUAAUAUUAAAAACAUUUAAAUGUUUGAAUUAAAUUAACAUAUAUAAAAAUAUAUCUGACUGCUAUUAUAUUGAGCAGAUUCUGAAGACACAGUAGUAAAACACUAUUUUUCUGACAUCACACCAGACUGGGGGAAAAAAAUGAUGACCUAGAUAGAAACUACCACUGCAACGAUUGGCACAAAUUGAGCACAAAGGAAGUGCAUGUUGUGCUUAUUCAUAGCAUGUAGGCUGCUUGUCUCAAGCUCAAUUGUAAGAUCUUCAUUAAAUCUAUAUCACACCCCAUAUGUUCAUUUUUAAAAUGGAGUGGGGUACAUACAGUCUGUUACCCCUUGCCUGGUAUUCAGCACCGUGGUUCAUUCACACUGUGCGCACUGUGCUUGCAAGGUCAAACAAAUGUAGAUUAAUCAAACAGGGCAUUCAGUGUCUCUGCUCUGUGUGGAUGGAAACUUAGCAACUGACUAUUAUAUACUGUAUAUACUCACUAUAUCUAUAUGUACCUUCAUUUAUACACACCCCCAUUUGUCAAUCUGCAUCUUUCUGUAUCUAUACAUUGUGCUAAUAAAAUGUGAGUGUGGCUGUCUUCAGAAAAUUCUGGAGUGUGCACAGCAGAGGUCACUGUGGUACGAACACACACAUAACGCGCGCACACACACACUGUAGGAACUGCAUGGGCCUGUUAGACUGCCCAUAGAAAACUGGCUGUAAAACUACAGUUUUUAAAGAGAUGCCCAUAAAUUCUGACAUUAUGACAAUGCAAACAUCUCUCGUUUUCUCUGUUCCUCUCUUUCCCUUUCAAUGUAAUGAAUAGAAGUGAAAAAUAUUUUAAUUAAAAAAACUAAUUGAAUAUUUACUUUCAUCGAUGUAUAUUCAACAAAAAAUAUAAAUAAGUAAAUAAAUAAAUAUUCAUAAUCUGGUAAAAUGGACAGCAGAAAAGGAUGUCAACAUGGUGUUUUUAUUGUGACUUUAAUUUAGCAAUUCCAAGUAGUUUCCACAAUGGGAUAAUGACAUUCAUUAGGCAUUUUGCAUGAAAAAUAAUGUAAAACUCAUAACUCGCA